GCCUGGGUGGCUCAGUCGGUUGAGCAUCCGACUUCAGCUCAGGUCAUGAUCUCGAGGUCCGUGAGUUCGAGCCCCGCGUCAGGCU
rnacentral:tRNA from 1 species